rnacentral:misc_RNA from 1 species
GAUGAAGAACGUAGCGAAAUGCGAUAAGUAGUGUGAAUUGCAGAAUUCAGUGAAUCAUCGAAUCUUUGAACGCACAUUGCGCCCCUUGGUAUUCCAUGGGGCAUGCCUGUUCGAGCGUCAUUUGUACCUUCAAGCUUUGCUUGGUGUUGGGUGUUUGGCCUGAGGGACUCGCCUUAAAGUAAUUGGCAGCCAGUGUUUUGGUUUUGAAGCGCAGCACAAGUCGCGAUUCAAAGCUAUACGCCAGCUUCCACAAGCCUUUUUCACUUUUGACCUCGGAUCAGGUAGGGAUACCCGCUGAACUUAAGCAUAUCAAUAAGCGGAGGA